rnacentral:rRNA from 1 species
AGAAAAAAAAAACACAUUUUGAGAAAAAGGAUUGCUUCUGGCGGUCCCUAAACCUACUAGAGGCUUAUGCGUUUGAAAACGAAUCUGCGCGAAAAACCUUUCCCUUUUUUGAAAAAAUACACUCUGCCCACCUCUGUCUGAAGGAGAAGGUCUCUCUUUUCCUACUCCUUAAAAAGGAGUAAGGCAAGUAUAAGUGUAGGCUAUGAAAGGAAAGAACGUGUAAGCCGUUUCCUGUUCUCUUUUCUGAAAAAGAGAGAAAGAAGAAUUUAGCAGUAAG